rnacentral:tRNA from 1 species
UCCCUGUUGGCUCAGACGGUAAAGAAUCUGCCUGCAAUGCAGGAGACCUGAGUUCGAUCCCUGGAUUGGGAA